UACGAAGGGGGCUAGCGUUGUUCGGAAUUACUGGGCGUAAAGCGUAUGCAGGCGGAUCGUUAAGUCGGGGGUGAAAUCCCGAGGCUCAACCUCGGAACUGCCUUCGAUACUGGCGACCUUCGAGUCCGGGAGAGGUGAGUGGAACUCCGAGUGUAGAGGUGAAAUUCGUAGAUAUUGGGAAGAACACCGGUGGCGAAGGCGGCCAACUGGACCACAACUGACGCUGAGGCGCGAAAGCGUGGGGAGCAAACAGG
rnacentral:rRNA from 1 species